UAAAAGUAAACUUUGCGCGCGAAUGAUCAGAAUUUAUCUUCUAAAGCGUUCGUCGUAACAUAACCUCUGCAUUCUAUACGGUCGCUAGUAUUUGCAAAAUAGAAAUUCGAUGCGCGACGUCCUCCUCUAUCCACCUUCGUCCAAGGAUUGCAACAGAAAGAAAUAGGACAUAGCAGUGUUUAGGAUCUGACAAUAAAAAUAACAAAUUAAAUUGAUGAUCUAAUCGUUUCUACAUACCGGGCUUACUUCGAAGAUCAACGCGCACAUAAGUAUGGCGUUGGCGAUGAUCACCCG